UACGGGGGGGGCAAGCGUUGUUCGGAAUUACUGGGCGUAAAGGACUCGUAGGCGGCCAACUAAGUCAGACGUGAAAUCCCUCGGCUUAACCGGGGAACUGCGUCUGAUACUGGAUGGCUAGAGGUUGGGAGAGGGAUGCGGAAUUCCAGGUGUAGCGGUGAAAUGCGUAGAUAUCUGGAGGAACACCGGUGGCGAAGGCGGCAUCCUGGACCGGUAUUGACGCUGAGGCGCGAAAGCCAGGGGAGCAAAGCGGG
rnacentral:rRNA from 1 species